GUGUUCAUGUUGGCAGCGCAUGUGCCAAAAUUGGAACGAUGCAGAGAAGAUCCGCAUGGCCCCUGCACAAGGACAACAGGCAAAUUCGUGAAGCGUCCCCACAUUUC